rfam:Perkinsus marinus ATCC 50983 gcontig_1104296346964, whole genome shotgun sequence.
GGUCUCGUGGCCUAAUGGAUAAGGUGUUGGUCUUCGGAACCAAAGACUAUGGGUUCGAGUCCCAUCGAGAUCG